UACGUAGGGUCCGAGCGUUGUCCGGAAUUACUGGGCGUAAAGAGCUCGUAGGUGGUUUGUCGCGUUGUUCGUGAAAACUCACAGCUUAACUGUGGGCGUGCGGGCGAUACGGGCAGACUGGAGUACUGCAGGGGAGACUGGAAUUCCUGGUGUAGCGGUGGAAUGCGCAGAUAUCAGGAGGAACACCGGUGGCGAAGGCGGGUCUCUGGGGCAGUAAAC
rnacentral:rRNA from 1 species